CGCCUAACUUCUUCCCGGGACGGACACAGCGCUCGCAUCCCGGGCAGAGGUGGAAGCUCGCUGAUCCGGAUUCGGCGAGGGCACCGCUCUCGGCGGCGGCGGCGGCGAGGGAACAAGUCUCGGGGAGUCAACCUAGGGCACCGAGCCCCCACCCAGGACCCGGCGGGCCCCAGCGGGCGCGGAGAGAGAUGCGCGUUUCAGGCAGAGCCAGGCGAUGCCCCUGCGGCCUGGGGCGGCGGCGUUGGGUGCUGCAGAGCCCGGGAACUUCCCACCCAGAGGAAAGGCCGCUUCAUCCCGGACCCCGCUGUUCUCCGCGCCCCCGGCACUGCCCAUCAGCACCGUGGGUAGGGGUCUUUAGAGCCUCUGCGGGCAGCCCAGGGAGACCACCAACCCAUAGGCCCUUGGGCCCCAGGGAGGCUCAGGUGAGCAGCGCUUGUCCUCCGGACUGUUGGCCGUUCUGGCGGAUCUGCUUCUGUUCCUCGGGCCAGCCGGCUCCACCCCGCGUCUCUGGAUUCCGGGACAUCGGACAUCUGGCUCCCACCACGCCUUGUGCAGGCCUUCUCCUCGGCCUGCACCUCCCUCUGGGUCAGGCCUGCUCCACCCCCACCGUCUCCCUCCUCGUGGCCGAGGGCCGGGCACCUCUCACUACUGGUCUUGUGUCAGCUGCUGCCCAGACUCUGCCUCUCCCAGGCCGGCCCAGCCAGGAUCCUCCGCAGUGACGAGCCUGCCCCCUGCGCCCCCGAGGAAUCCAAUAAAUCUUUGUGAAACCAGCUACCCGAGUGCA
ensembl:lncRNA uncharacterized LOC113879831